rnacentral:rRNA from 1 species
AACGAACGCUGGCGGCAGGCCUAACACAUGCAAGUCGAACGCACCGCAAGGUGAGUGGCGCACGGGUGAGUAACACGUGGGAAUGUAUCCUUUGGUUCGGAAUAACGUUUGGAAACGGACGCUAAUACCGGAUGAGCCCUUAGGGGGAAAGAUUUAUCGCCGAAGGAGCAGCCCGCGUCUGAUUAGGUAGUUGGUGGGGUAAAGGCCUACCAAGCCGACGAUCAGUAGCUGGUCUGAGAGGAUGAUCAGCCACACUGGGACUGAGACACGGCCCGGACUACUACGGGAGGCAGCAGUGGGGAAUAUUGGACAAUGGGCGCAAGCCUGAUCCAGCCAUGCCGCGUGAGUGAUGAAGGCCUUCGGGUUGUAAGGCCCUUUUGUACGGGAAGAAAAGCUUCGGAUUAAUACUUCGAGGUCAUGACGGUACCGUAAGAAUAAGCACCGGCUAACUU